UGGGGAAUAUUGCACAAUGGAGGGAACUCUGAUGCAGCGACGCCGCGUGAACGAAGAAGGCUUUCGAGUCGUAAAGUUCUUUUAUAUGGGAAGAUAAUGACGGUACCAUAAGAAAAAGCCCCGGCUAACUACGUGCCAGCUGCCGCGGUAAUACGUAGGGGGCUAGCGUUGUCCGGAAUCACUGGGCGUAAAGGGUUCGCAGGCGGAAAUGCAAGUCAGGUGUAAAAGGCAGUAGCUUAACUACUGUAAGCAUUUGAAACUGCAUAUCUUGAGAAGAGUAGAGGUAAGUGGAAUUUUUAGUGUAGCGAUGAAAUGCGUAGAUAUUAAAAAGAAUACCGGUGGCGAAGGCGACUUACUGGGCUCAUUCUGACGCUGAGGAACGAAAGCGUGGGUAGCAAACAGG
rnacentral:rRNA from 1 species